rnacentral:lncRNA from 1 species
CCAUCUCUUGCAAUGGUGGUUGGAUGGAUCGAGAGCCAAAUGAGGUUGACUCUUAACCACCUUUGCUAUGCGAUAUCCAUAGAAUUUUAUGGGACUGUGCCUCCAUGAUGGUCAGAUAUGUUUAUCGCGAGACAAAUAGUGCGAUAAAUUAGACCGUCUCUUUUAUGACUUAGCAUUUGAUGAACGCACUAUGAGCCAUCCAUUGUUAUCGAAAGAAAAAAGACAUAUUCCAGAAGAGGAACCAACUUGAAUCUGCCCUAAAUCAAGUUGGAUGCAGGUCCACUAAAUCAAAAGUCCAUCCAAGAAGGGUUCAUCAUUUCGCAAUUUAUUGCCCAUAUUGAAUGAUAAGACCUAUAUUGAACUCGAAAUUGGCAAGUCACUUGGUUAAUACUUAAAUUGCCAUUCCCUUUUGGCCUGGCCAUGCAUCCAAUUUAAUCAAGUCCAGCAGCACUUGCAAGACAAAUCGUGCAAGGUAGGAUAAUCCAAUUGUGCUUCAGAACCUUCACACACUCCACAAAAAAGUGAUUUUUAGAAUAAAUUUCAUUGUUAUGAGUACAAUAAUUGGCACGUCAGAGAGUAGGGAUGGAGAAAUUCGUACUUCG